UGACAUGCACCAAAUCGAGAGAUAGAUAUCCAACGACCAAAAUUGUAAUUUUACCUACAAAAUAGCAAAAAUGAGAUUGAGACUUGAGAGGACAUAAGUGUAACAGUGGGCAAAGCAAGGUGCAUAUUGAAAUAUAGGUGCAUCAAUCCCAAAAAAUAAUGUAGAAAAAAGGGGGAAAGAGGAAGACUUGAAAAUACCAAGCUCGGGAAUCUGGAAUCUCCCUCUUGCAUCGUCUGUCGACUGAAGAUUUAGCUAGAUUUCCAGGUCCUGAAGAAUCAGGUAUCUGGUGUACUGAGUUGAAUCAUUUAUAUUCAUACUGCGCAUCGACUGCACACUAUAUUCUUUGGUGUUGGAUACAGUAUGUGGAAGGCAGUUCAUGAGAAUGUCUUGAAAGAUGAUUUUUUGGUGGAUGACGAAGGUCUCCAGUCAGAUGAGCAUCAUUUGAAUUUUCAUGAUCAGGAAUGCAUUGGGAAGAUAAAGGAGUUGCAGUUUUAUCUGGACACGGUGGAAAAAGUUGUGAAACCAGGUUGCUCACAAGAAUUGCUGAAUGUGGCCUUGACUUCCUUAUCCUCUCUUGUAAAAACCUUAUCCAUUAUAUCUUCUGGACCCUGUCUGCUUGCCUCACUAUGAACAAAAUAAUCAGAAGAUCUGAUGAUGCAGUUUAAUUUCAGAAACUUUGAAAUGUUGUUUGGGUGUCUAUUUCUUCUCUCACGUCAUCUCCAGGUGGGUGACAAGAUACAUAAAUCGUGUAUAGCAGAUGAUACAUUUCUGGAGGAGCACCGCGUAAAGCUGAGGCGAAAACAAUGUCACCAUUCCUUUUUCCGCUUGCACAUGAAAUCUCAUUUGUCAAGUGUAGGACAGCCUUGUUUGUCAACUCUAGCACCAGUUUUCUGGAAUAAGGUUUGCAGGUUAGUCGGUUCAUCUGGUCUUCUGAGCAUCAUGGGAAUAAUGUAGUCAAGAAGCACAAGAUUUCUCAAGAUAGUCUCAGUUUCAUCGAUCCUAGGACAGCCUUCUUGGUUCUUUGUCAACUGUGGCACCGGUUGUCAGGAACAAAGUUGGCAGGCUGGUGGGUUACCCUAGUCUUGUAAACAUCAUGAUACUAAGUAGCCAAGAAGCGCAAGGUUUCUCAGAGAUAGAUUCAUUAACUGGUUUACUGGCUAGAUCUCCAAUUUAAUCAUUUGGCAAGGCAAGAUCAGUAAUGCCUCUUUUGCUAAUGAUUUCUUCUAUCACAUUUGUCUUCAUCAGAAGGUACAUUGAAGGUACGUACUUAAAUUUGGGUCUCCCUCAAGAAUGGUUGUGAUAUUACAUUUUUGUCAGGUCAUUCCUGGGGAUGAAUAUAGCCAUCGUUGUGGAGUCUUUUGAGUUGGAGAGCUUUGUUUUCUAUCUUCUGAAAAUGAUAAAGAUUGAACAUACCCACUCAGAACAUGAGAAUAGGACCCGAACAAGUGGAGGAGUUCUUUCAGGUUUCAACCAAUGUCCAAGUCCAAGCAGUCUAUCCCCUUCUUUAAUAACCAUUUGUAGAAUCCAGGGUGACACAAUUUUUUGACCCGAAUAAGAAUAUUUGAGGUUGAAUCUGAAAGAGUUUGUUUGCAGUUUACCAAAACCCUAUGCAACUGUAAAAGUAGCGUUGAAAACGCAAAAGUGUAAUUAAAUUGCAUUAGACCUCCACGAACUUUGGAGAAAGUUGUACUUUGCUCCCCUCAACUUUCUGACUUUACCCCCAUUUAAUAACAUUCCUUGACUAGAAUUCCAUCA